GGCUCUGUGGCGCAAUGGAUAGCGCAUUGGACUUCUAGUUGAAUGUGAAUGAGGAGGAAUUCAAAGGUUGUGUGUUCGAGUCCCACCAGAGUCG
rnacentral:tRNA from 1 species